GGGAAUGGGAGGGAAUGGGAGGGACUAGGAAGGAUUGGGAGGGAAUGGGAACUUUACUGGGAUGGACUGGGAUGGAAUGGGAGACAUCACUGGGAUGGACUGGAGGGACUGGGAGGGAUUGGGAGGGAAUGGGAACUUUAUUGGGAUGAACUGGGAUGGAAUGGGAGGCACUGGGAGACCUCACUGGGAUGGACUGGGAUGGACUGGGGGACCUCACUGGGAGGGACUGGGAAGGACUGGAAGGGACUGGGAGGGAAUGGGAGGGAAUGGGAGGGACUGGGAGGGACUGGGAGGGAAUGGGAGACCUUACUGGGAUGGACUGGGAUGGAAUGGGAGGCACUGGGAGACCUCACUGGGAUGGACUGGGAGGGACUGGGAGACCACAGUGGGAUCGACUGGGAUGGACUGGGGGGCUCUGGAAGGGGCUGGGAUGGACUGGGAGGGACCAGCAGACCUCACUGGGAUGGACUGGGAGGGAAUGGGAGGGACUGGGAGGGACUGGGAGACCUCACUUGGGUGGCCUGGGAGCACUGGGUUAUACUGGGCUGUACUGGGUUAUACUGGGCUGUACUGGUCCGUACUGGUCCAUAGUGGUUCACAGUGACCUAUACUGGUCCAUACUGGUCCAUACUGCCCCGUACUGCCCCAUACUGGUCCAUACUGGUCCCUACUGGUCCAUACUGGUCCGCAGACC
rnacentral:lncRNA from 1 species